rnacentral:rRNA from 1 species
AUUGAACGCUGGCGGCAGGCCUAACAUAUGCAAGUCGAGCGGAUGAAGGGAGCUUGCUCCUGGAUUCAGCGGCGGACGGGUGAGUAAUGCCUAGGAAUCUGCCUGGUAGUGGGGGAUAACGUCCGGAAACGGGCGCUAAUACCGCAUACGUCCUGAGGGAGAAAGUGGGGGAUCUUCGGACCUCACGCUAUCAGAUGAGCCUAGGUCGGAUUAGCUAGUUGGUGGGGGUAAAGGCCUACCAAGGCGACGAUCCGUAACUGGUCUGAGAGGAUGAUCAGUCACACUGGAACUGAGACACGGUCCAGACUCCUACGGGAGGCAGCAGUGGGGAAUAUUGGACAAUGGGCGAAAGCCUGAUCCAGCCAUGCCGCGUGUGUGAAGAAGGUCUUCGGAUUGUAAAGCACUUUAAGUUGGGAGGAAGGGCAGUAAGUUAAUACCUUGCUGUUUUGACGUUACCAACAGAAUAAGCACCGGCUAACUUCGUG